AACUGAUACUACCUGCGGGAACCUGCGGAAGGAUCAUUAAAGAGAAAACUGCCCUUUGGGUAGAUCUCCCACCCUUUGUUUAUAUUACCUUUGUUGCUUUGGCAGGCCCGUCUCUGACCACCGGCUCUUUGGCUGGUCUGUGCCUGCCAAGAGACCUCCAACUCUUGAUUUGAAGUUGUCUGAGUCUUAUAUAAUAGUAAAAACUUUCAACAACGGAUCUCUAGAUCGGAAGAGCACACG
rnacentral:misc_RNA from 1 species